rnacentral:rRNA from 1 species
UGGGCGUAAAGACGAGCGCAGAGCGGUUUUUUAAGUCUGAUGUGAAAGCCUUCGGCUUAACCGGCAGAAGUGCAUCGGAAACUGGGAGACUUGAGUGCAGAAGAGGACAGUGGAACUCCAUGUGUAGCGGUGGAAUGCGUAGAUAUAUGGAAGAACACCAGUGGCGAAGGCGGCUGUCUAGUCUGUAACUGACGCUGAGGCUCGAAAGCAUGGGUAGCGAACAGGAUUANAUACCCUGGUAGUCCAUGCCGUAAACGAUGANUGCUAA